rnacentral:rRNA from 1 species
CAGAGGGUGCGAGCGUUGUUCGGAAUUACUGGGCGUAAAGCGCGCGCAGGCGGCUUCUUAAGUCCAUCGGUGAAAUGCCGGGGCUCAACCCCGUUGCAGGCCGAGGAUACUGGGAGGCUGGAGACGAGUAGAGGCAAGCGGAAUUCCGGGUGUAGCGGUGGAAUGCGUAGAGAUCCGGAAGAACACCGGAGGCGAAGGCGGCUUGCUGGGCUUGGUCUGACGCUGAGGCGCGAAAGCGUGGGGAGCGAACAGGAUUAGAUACCCUGGUAGUCCACGCCGUAAACGAUGGGCACUAGACGCGGGUGGGAUCGACCCCUUCCGUGUCGCAGCUAACGCGCUAAGUGCCCCGCCUGGGGAGUACGGCCGCAAGGCUG